rnacentral:rRNA from 1 species
UACGUAGGGCGCAAGCGUUUGUCCGGAAUUAUUGGGCGUAAAGAGCUCGUAGGCGGCUUGUCGCGUCGAUUGUGAAAGCCCGGGGCUUAACCUCGGGUCUGCAGUCGAUACGGGCUGGCUAGAGUGUGGUAGGGGAGAUCGGAAUUCCUGGUGUAGCGGUGAAAUGCGCAGAUAUCAGGAGGAACACCGGUGGCGAAGGCGGAUCUCUGGGCCAUUACUGACGCUGAGACGCGAAAGCGUGGGGAGGCGAACAGG